rnacentral:rRNA from 1 species
GAUGAACACUAGCGGCAGGCUUAAUACAUGCAAGUCGAGGGGCAGCAUGAUUGUAGCAAUACAAUUGAUGGCGACCGGCAAACGGGUGCGGAACACGUACACAACCUCCCAAUAAGUGGGGAAUAGCCCAGAGAAAUUUGGAUUAAUACCCCGUAACAUAACGAUGUGGCAUCACAUUGUUAUUAUAGAUUUUUCGCUUAUUGAUGGGUGUGCGGCUGGUUAGAUAGUUGGCGGGGUAACGGCCCACCAAGUCUACGAUCAGUAGCUGAUGUGAGAGCAUGAUCAGCCACACGGGAACUGAGACACGGGCCCGACUCCUACGGGAGGCAGCAGUAAGGAAUAUUGGACAAUGGACGCAAGUCUGAUCCAGCCAUGCCGCGUGAAGGAUUAAGGUCCUCUGGAUUGUAAACUUCUUUUAUAAGGGACGAAAAAAGGCUUUUCUAAGUCGUCUGACGGUACCUUAUGAAUAAGCACCGGCUAACUCCGUGCCAGCAGCCGCCGUAAUAC